rnacentral:rRNA from 1 species
AACGGCGAGUGAACAGGGAAGAGCCCAGCGCCGAAGCCUCCGUCCCGCGCGGGCGGCAGGCAAUGUGGCGUUCGGGAGAAACCUCUCCUUCCGGAAACUGUCCGGGAGCCCAGGUCCCCCUGACCGGGGCCAUCGCCCGUUGAGGGUGCAAGGCCCGUGCGGCUCUUGGCGUCCGGAGGACGGUUUUUUUCUCCCGGGAGUCGGGUUGCUUGGGAGUGCAGCCCUAAGAGGGUGGUAAACUCCAUCUAAGGCUAAAUACUUCCACGAGACCGAUAGCAAACAAGUACCGUGAGGGAAAGUUGCAAAGAACUUUGAAGAGAGAGUUCAAGAGUACGUGAAACCGCUCGUAGGUAAACGGGUGGGCCCUCGAAGGCAAGCAGGAGGGGAUUCAACCCGUUGGCAAUCGACCGUGCGCCGCGGUUUUUCUCGAAACGGAUCCGAGAGACCGGCCCGUGGCGCCGCGGUCGUCAGCGGGCGCACUUCCCCUUCUCGCGUCCCGUCCUUCUGGGCGGGACCGAACGCCGCGACCGGUCGGGAGAAACGACGGCGGCCAAGCGGCGAGAUUGGGCAGGUAUCCUACUCGUCCUUUCUGUUUUUCCCUUCGGGGUUGGCAGGAUUGCUUGUAGGAGAGCUUUCAGCCCGUCUCGACCCGGCUCCGCCGCCCGACCGUGGUCUAGAACCGAGGUUCGACAACCGCGCAUGCGCUUUGACGCUCGAGCCCGUCCCGCACGUAGGGUUUUCUGGCCGCCGAUAGAUCCAUAAAACCUCCCCCCCGCUCACGGCGGUUACACGAAGCGGUCGCCCUGCGUUGUGUACCCCUUUAGGACGUGUGCUCUCGUUUUUUGUUCCAAAAAAAGCAGCGCUUGUGGUCGGCGGCGAGUAGGUCGGUAACCCACCCGACCCGUCUUGAAACACGGACCAAGGAGUCUAACAUGUGUGCGAGUCGUAGGGUUCGUCCGAAACCCGAAGGCGCAGUGAAAGUAGAGGUCGGCUCUAUGCUCGGCCGAGGCAGGAUCCGUCGUUCUCUUUCCUUUUACCCGGGCACAUUCCCCUAACUCCGGUUAGGGUGUGUGUUUUUUUGGUCUGUAACUGGAAGUCGGCGGCGCACUGCCGGCCCGUCUCGACCGCCACGUCGGUGAGGCGGAGCAAGAGCACACACGUUGGGACCCGAAAGAUGGUGAACUAUUCCUAGGCAGGACGAAGCCAGAGGAAACUCUGGUGGAGGUCCGUAGCGUUUCUGACGUGCAAAUCGAUCGUCAGACCUGGGUAUAGGGGCGAAAGACUAAUCGAACCAUCUAGUAGCUGGUUCCCUCCGAAGUUUCCCUCAGGAUAGCUGGCUCUCGAGACACACAGUCUCAUCCGGUAAAGCGAAUGAUUAGAGGCCUUGGGGCCGAAACGACCUCAACCUAUUCUCAAACUUUCAAUGGGUGAGAAGUCCGGCUUGCUCGACUGAAGCCCGGACGAUAACGGAUGCGAGUGCCCAGUGGGCCACUUUUGGUAAGCAGAACUGGCGCUGUGGGAUGAACCAAACGCCGGGUUACGGCGCCAAAUGCGACGCUCAUCAGACACCAUGAAAGGUGUUGGUUGCUAUAGACAGCAGGACGGUGGCCAUGGAAGUCGGAAUCCGCUAAGGAGUGUGUAACAACUCACCUGCCGAAGCAACUAGCCCUGAAAAUGGAUGGCGCUCAAGCGUCGAGCCUAUACCCGGCCGCCGGGGCAGAGCCCGUCCAAACGGCCCCAGAAGCCCCGGCGAGUAGGAGGGUCGCGGCGGUGAGCGGAAAAGGGUCGGGCGCAGGCCCGCCUGGAGCCUCCGCCGGUGCAGAUCUUGGUGGUAGUAGCAAAUACUCGAGUGAGAACCUUGAGGACUGAUGUGGAGAAGGGUUCCAUGUGAACAGCAGUUGAACAUGGGUCAGUCGGCCCUAAGGAAUAGGGAAAUCCCGUUCCGAACGGGGGGUUGGUACAUAAACAAAAUUUUCCAAAAGAAAAAAAACCCCCGCCCAGACCGAAAGGGAAUCGGGUUAAUAUUCCCGAACCCGGACACGGAGAUCGGGCCCUUUGUGGUCCAGUGCGGUGACGCAAACAUCCUCGGAAACGUCGACGGGAGUUCCGGGAAGAGUUGUCUUUUCUUUGUAAGGGACGGAAUCCCUGGAAUCGGUUCGCCCGGAGAUAGGGAUGUGGUUUCCGUAAAGCACCGCGCCUCCUGCGGUGUCCGGACAGCUCUCGUCGGCCCUUGAAAAUCCGAGGAAGGUAGUGCGAUUUUCGUGCCGGGCCGUACCCAUAUCCGCAGCAGGUCUCCAAGGUGAACAGCCUCUAGUCGAUAGAUCA